AUGUUCGCUUCAGCAGAAAAACUAAAAUUGGAAUAAUACAGAGUUUAGCAUGGCCCCUGCACAAGAAUGACACAGAAAUUCGUGAAGUGUUCCAUGUUUUU
ensembl:snRNA U6 U6 spliceosomal RNA